rnacentral:rRNA from 1 species
UGAGGCGCGCCGAGUUUGAUCCUGGCUCAGAACGAACGCUGGCGGCAUGCCUAACACAUGCAAGUUGAACGAGAAAGCUCCUUCGGGAGUGAGUAGAGUGGCGCACGGGUGAGUAACGCGUGGGAACCUACCAAGCAGUGGGGAAUAACCUCGGGAAACUGAGGCUAAUACCGCAUACGCCCUACGGGGGAAAGAUUUAUCGCUGUUUGAUGGUCCCGCGUCUGAUUAGCUAGUUGGUGAGGUAAUGGCUCACCAAGGCGACGAUCAGUAGCUGGUCUGAGAGGAUGAUCAGCCACACUGGGACUGAGACACGGCCCAGACUCCUACGGGAGGCAGCAGUGGGGAAUAUUGGACAAUGGGCGAAAGCCUGAUCCAGCAAUGCCGCGUGAGUGAAGAAGGCCCUAGGGUUGUAAAACUCUUUCAAUCGUGAAGAUGAUGACGGUAACGAUAGAAGAAGCACCGGCUAACUUCGUGCCAGC